UACAGCGACUGCGAAUGGCUCAUUAUAUAAGUUAUCGUUUAUUUGAUAGUACCUUACUACUUGGAUAACCGUGGUAAUUCUAGAGCUAAUACAUGCUGCCAACCCCGACUCCGGAAGGGGCGUAUUUAUUAGAUCCAAAGCCAACGCCCUCCUGGGGCUCCUUGGUGAUUCAUGAUAACUCUUCGAAUCGCACGGCCUUGCGCCGGCGAUGGUUCAUUCAAAUUUCUUCCCUAUCAACUUUCGAUGUUUGGGUAUUGGCCAAACAUGGUCGCAACGGGUAACGGAGGGUUAGGGCUCGACCCCGGAGAAGGAGCCUGAGAAACGGCUACUACAUCCAAGGAAGGCAGCAGGCGCGCAAAUUACCCAAUCCCGACACGGGGAGGUAGUGACAAUAAAUACUGAUACAGGGCUCUUUAGGGUCUUGUAAUUGGAAUGAGUACAGUUUAAACCCCUUAGCGAGGAACAAUUGGAGGGCAAGUCUGGUGCCAGCAGCCGCGGUAAUUCCAGCUCCAAUAGCGUAUAUUAAAGUUGUUGUGGUUAAAAAGCUCGUAGUUGAACCUUGGGCCUGGCUGGCCGGUCCGCCUCACCGCGUGCACUGGUCCGGCCGGGCCUUUCCCUCUGCGGAACCCCAUGCCCUUCGCUGGGCGUGGCGGGGAGGCAGGACGUUUACUUUGAAAAAAUUAGAGUGCUCAAGGCAGGCCUAUGCUCGGAUACAUUAGCAUGGAAUAAUGAAACAGGACGCGCGGUUCCGUUUCGUUGGCUCUAGGGACCGCCGUAAUGAUCGAUAGGGACAGUCGGGGGCAUCAGUAUUCAGCUGUCAGAGGUGAAAUUCUUGGAUUUGCUGAAGACUAACUACUGCGAAAGCAUUUGCCAAGGAUGUUUUUCAUUAAUCAGGAACGAAAGUUAGGGGAUCGAAGACGAUCAGAUACCGUCGUAGUCCUAACCAUAAACUAUGCCGACUAGGGAUCGGACGAUGUGGUCUCUGACGCGUUCGGCACCUUGCGAGAAAUCAAAGUGCCUGGGCCUCCAGGGGAGUAUGUCGCAAGCUGAAACUUAAGAAUGACGAAGCACCACCCAGGGUAU
rnacentral:rRNA from 1 species